GACGAACGCUGGCGGCGUGCUUAACACAUGCAAGUCGAACGCACCUUCGGGUGAGUGGCGGACGGGUGAGUAACGCGUAGGUAAUCUGCUCUCCAGUGGGGGAUACCCAGCCGAAAGGUUGGUUAAUACCGCAUACGCUCCUGUGCAGAGAGGUACAGGAGGAAAGGUUUACUGUUGGGGAAUGAGCCUGCGUCCGAUUAGCUAGUUGGUGGGGUAAAGGCUCACCAAGGCGACGAUCGGUAGCUGGUCUGAGAGGACGAUCAGCCACACUGGAACUGAGACACGGUCCAGACUCCUACGGGAGGCAGCAGUGGGGAAUUUUCCGCAAUGGGCGAAAGCCUGACGGAGCAACGCCGCGUGGGUGAUGAAGUUUUUUCGGAACGUAAAACCCUUUCGCCAGGGACGAAGCGAGUGACGGUACCUGGAGAAGAAGCAUCGGCUAACUACGUGCCAGCAGCCGCGGUAAU
rnacentral:rRNA from 1 species